rnacentral:tRNA from 1 species
CAAGUAAUUAUUUAUUAUUUUUUACAUGAAUAAGUUUAUUGUUAGAUCAGUAUUAUUUGA